rnacentral:rRNA from 1 species
UACGGAGGGGACUAGCGUUGUUCGGAAUUACUGGGCGUAAAGCGCACGUAGGCGGAUUUGUAAGUCAGGGGUGAAAUCCCGGGGCUCAACCCCGGAACUGCCUUUGAUACUGCAAAUCUCGAGUCCGGAAGAGGUGAGUGGAAUUCCUAGUGUAGAGGUGAAAUUCGUGGAUAUUAGGAAGAACACCAGUGGCGAAGGCGGCUCACUGGUCCGGUACUGACGCUGAGGUGCGAAAGCGUGGGGAGCAAACAGG